rnacentral:rRNA from 1 species
CUUGACCGCUGGCGGCAGGCCUAACACAUGCCAGUCGAACCAGUGGCGGACGGGUGAGUACUGCCUGGGAAACUGCUCGAUGUAGGGGGCUCCCUACUGGAAACGGUCGCUACUACCGCACACCCUCGGCUGACCCCAGAUGGGAUUAGCUAGUAGGUGGGGUACCGGCUCACCUAGUCGACGAUCCCUAGCUGGUCUGAGAGAUUGACCAGCCACACGGGAACGGUGAGACGGUGCAGACGCCUGCGGGAGUCAGCAUCGGGGAAUAUUGGACAAGGGGCGCAAGCCUGAUGCAGCCAUGCCGCGUGUAUGAAGAGGGACUUGGGGUUGUAAAGUACUUGAAGCGGGGAGGCGUUACUGUCAGAAUAAGAACCGACUAACUCCGUGCCAGCAGCCGCGGUAAUUC